rnacentral:tRNA from 1 species
GGCUUUAUAGUCAAUAAUGACGUUAGACUGCAAAUCUGAAGGAGUAAAUUACUAAGGCUU